rnacentral:lncRNA from 1 species
AAUGACCAGUGUACAUAAUGCCGGGGCACGCGUACUACUGUAACCAAACACCGGGUCAUGAUUAAGAAAACGAGUAAGGACCACUUUCUGCCAAGCCUGGUCCAAAAUAUAUUCUCUCCCCCACUCUACAUUCAGACUGCUGCACGAAAUUCACCAAACUUCUACAGUUGGAUUAUACUGAAGUAUAGCUUUCCCUUUGCAAUGUUUGAACACUCAAAAAUGUCACCAUCCCAACAGAGAAACAGCGACGAGAAUAAUAUUGGACAGAAAGGACCUAAUCAUGCAACUCCGGUGGUUAUUUUUACUAGCAAUUCAAGCUCUUUUGUCAAUGAAAAUUAACCAGGAAAAUUAACCAGCGACGAGAAUAAGAUUGUAGAAUUCAUACGCCUCUGGUAGAGAAUCUAAAUUGUGUCAAGCGCCAGGUUGACAACUACCGCAGUCCCCCUGUCAGCGUGUAUGGCAGCUUCAAGUGCCGGCAUACGAUCAACCGCCGCCGCCCGCUCAUCUGGUGCUUGCGGCCCUCUUGUCCUGCCAACAUAAGCAGAAGGAAAACAAGAUAAACAGAAAGCAUGUAUGUAGUUGGGAGAACCAUUUUUUCCUCUAAUUUUACAUUUAUGAACAUUGACAAAUAAAGAUUGUACUGCCUGUGUGCCACCCACUAUGCUUACUACACGAAAUUCACGGGUUUGUGGCAAUAGAAUCAACCUAUGUAAAUUUGACCAGGGACAUUAGCUGCCCUCGGACGAUUUUUCUGAAAAUCAACUAGAGUAUGCUUGGGCAUUUUUACGGUUCGAGCUGGGAAAAAACAAAUACAAACAAGCAUAAUGCACCAAUUCGGCAACUUGCUCCUACUAGACAAGAAUCAGAUUGCUAGAAAAAAAUCCCAAGCCAGCGAAUCCUCAUAGAGAAGCUUCAACGCGACGGCGCGCGAUCACUGCUACCGCAUCGCCGAUCGUCUGCCGCCCGUGGCCUUGUAACUAACUAAUUACCACCAAAAAUCAGAAGAAACUUAAGGGAAAACAAAGGCACGCCUGGGAGAAGCUCUUUUCCCCCUCUUUGCAUUGUACAUUGGACCACAAACUAAAUUGGAACAGGCUAGGAUUGCCAAGGCCAGUCACUCCUGCAAGACCACUAGCGAUUGGUAUCUCGCAAAUUCUGAGCUUUUUGCGGCAAUAGAAUUUUCAACACUGUCUAUGUUUAGGCAAAGGCGUUAAUCGCCCUAAGUUCACUUGGCUGAUGACGCUUUACAAAAAAUCCUUAUAUUAUGACCGGAUCGAAGCUGUAGAAAAAUCCACCAAAGUAGAUUCAGACUCUACUUAGUCGACCUAGCCAGAUUUUCAGAUGGCUGCAAAAAAUAAAUCCUGG